GAAAUGCGAUAAGUAAUGUGAAUUGCAGAAUUCCGUGAAUCAUCGAAUCUUUGAACGCACAUUGCGCCCUCUGGUAUUCCGGGGGGCAUGCCUGUCCGAGCGUCAUUGUGAACCCCUCAAGCACGGCUUGUGUGAUGGGCCCUCCCGCGUCUUGAUCGUCAAGACGGGCCCGAAAUGCAGUGGCGGCUUCGCGGUUAUCCGAUCAGCCAGAGCGUAUGGGGACUCUCUCUCUGUCACACGCCCGCGGCGCGGACCGACGCCUGUCGACCUUUAUUCAUCUUUUCUCGGUUGACCUCGGAUCAGGUAGGGAUACCCGCUGAACUUAAGC
rnacentral:misc_RNA from 1 species